GACGAACGCUGGCGGCGUGCUUAACACAUGCAAGUCGAACGGAAAGGCCCUUCGGGGUACUCGAGUGGCGAACGGGUGAGUAACACGUGGGUGAUCUGCCCCGCACUUUGGGAUAAGCCUGGGAAACUGGGUCUAAUACCGAAUAGGACCACGCGCUUCAUGGUGUGUGGUGGAAAGCUUUUGCGGUGUGGGAUGGGCCCGCGGCCUAUCAGCUUGUUGGUGGGGUAAUGGCCUACCAAGGCGACGACGGGUAGCCGGCCUGAGAGGGUGACCGGCCACACUGGGACUGAGAUACGGCCCAGACUCCUACGGGAGGCAGCAGUGGGGAAUAUUGCACAAUGGGCGCAAGCCUGAUGCAGCGACGCCGCGUGAGGGAUGACGGCCUUCGGGUUGUAAACCUCUUUCACCAGGGACGAAGCGUAAGUGACGGUACCUGGAGAAGAAGCACCGGCCAACUACGUG
rnacentral:rRNA from 1 species